rnacentral:rRNA from 1 species
AGCACCUACGGGGCGCAGCAGUGGGGAAUAUUGCACAACGGGCGAAAGCCUGAUGCAGCAACGCCGCGUGAGCAAUGAAGGCCUUCGGGUCGUAAAGCUCUGUCCUCAAGGAAGAUAAUGACGGUACUUGAGGAGGAAGCCCCGGCUAACUACGUGCCAGCAGUCGCGGUAAUACGUAGGGGGCUAGCGUUAUCCGGAAUUACUGGGCGUAAAGGGUGCGUAGGUGGUUUCUUAAGUCAGAGGUGAAAUGCUACGGCUCAACCGUAGUAAGCCUUUGAAGCUGGGGAACUUGAGUGCAGGAGAGG